UACGUAGGGUGCAAGCGUUGUCCGGAAUUAUUGGGCGUAAAGAGCUCGUAGGCGGUCUGUCGCGUCGGCUGUGAAAACCUGGGGCUCAACCCCGGGCUUGCAGCCGAUACGGGCAGACUAGAAUUCGGUAGGGGGAGACUGGAAUUCCUGGUGUAGCGGUGAAAUGCGCAGAUAUCAGGAGGAACACCGGUGGCGAAGGCGGGUCUCUGGGACGGUACUGACGCUGAGACGCGAAAGCGUGGGGAGCGAACAGG
rnacentral:rRNA from 1 species